rnacentral:lncRNA from 1 species
UUCAAAUUUUAACAUUUUGUGAUUACUAAUUUAACAUUUACAACGUACGCAUGUUAUAGUUAGCUUCCAAUUUUGAUUAAAAUGUUACUAGAAUGAUGAUCAAAUUUGUUAGAAAUGUAAGAGGAGAGUAAUUAUGAUUUAGUAAAGAAAACCAUGGAACUAAAUUAUAAAUACGCAACAUCUAUGUAGUUAUUUUCCUAAGGCUCGAUCGAUUGUCGUUUAGGUGGAUUUACGCUAUGUUUCAGUAUUACCAACUGUGGCUUGGGGAAAUUAGUCUAGAUUAAGGUUCGGAUCACCUACGGUUAGCCAAAAAAAUAUCUAUAUAUAUUUAUUUAUUUUUUAUUUUUUUCAAAAUAGACAAUCUUACUAAAAAAAUACAAUAUAAAAAUAAGAAAUAUAAUAUAGACAAAUCUCCAAAAUAGCACAUUUCUAAGUUUAUGUCACAAAAAUAGCCCUCAAAAACUAAAAUGACCAAAAUAGCAUUUUAUCCUUUGAAAAAUUUAAAUUUUUCUUAUUUUUCAAAAUCUAAAUCCUAAACCCCAAACCAUAAACCAUAAACCCAAAACCCAACUCCCCAACUCUAAACCCUAAACCCUAAAUCCUAAACCCUAAACCCUAAAUCCUAAACCCCACCCCUUAACUCUAAACCCUAAACCCUAACCCCACCCCUAAAUUCUAAACCUUAAACCCUAAACUCUAAACCCUAAACCCUAAACUCCACUCCUUAACUUUAAACCUUAAUGUCUAAAUUAAUUUACCGUUGGGGUAUAAGUGUAUAUUUAUCUCUUUUGAUAAAACAUUAAGUACUAUUUUGGUCAUUUUUAUUUUUAGAGGUUAUAUUUGUGACAAAAAAAAUUUUU